AGCGAACGCUGGCGGCAGGCCUAAUACAUGCAAGUCGAGCGCACCUUCGGGUGAGCGGCGGACGGGUGAGUAACGCGUGGGAACGUGCCCUUUGGUACGGGAUAACUGAGGGAAACUUCAGCUAAUACCGUAUGUGCCCUACGGGGGAAAGAUUUAUCGCCAUUGGAGCGGCCCGCGUUGGAUUAGGUAGUUGGUGAGGUAAAGGCUCACCAAGCCUACGAUCCAUAGCUGGUCUGAGAGGAUGAUCAGCCACACUGGGACUGAGACACGGCCCAGACUCCUACGGGAGGCAGCAGUAGGGAAUCUUGCGCAAUGGGCGAAAGCCUGACGCAGCCAUGCCGCGUGAAUGAUGAAGGUCUUAGGAUUGUAAAAUUUUUUCACCGGGGAAGAUAAUGACGGUACCCGGAGAAGAAGCCCCGGCUAACUUCGUGCCAGCCGCCGCCGUAAUAC
rnacentral:rRNA from 1 species